UACGUAGGGGGCAAGCGUUGUCCGGAAUCAUUGGGCGUAAAGGGCGCGCAGGCGGCUGAUCAAGUCAGGCGUGAAAGGCCUGGGCUCAACCCGGGAAUUGCGCUUGAGACUGGGCUGGCUUGAGUGCGGGAGAGGAUGGUGGAAUUCCCAGUGUAGAGGUGAAAUUCGUAGAUAUUGGGAAGAACACCGGUGGCGAAGGCGGCCAUCUGGACCGCAACUGACGCUGAGGCGCGAAAGCGUGGGGAGCAAACAGG
rnacentral:rRNA from 1 species